CUUCAAGUACAAUGUCGUGGCAGGUUAUAGUGUUCACAUGGCCAGCCCUGAAUCUGACUGAGACGAUAAGAAUUUGUUAAUAUUGUGGCACACCUAAUUUGGUACAAGUACUGUCCCCAUCCUUUCGUGGAUGGGUCCUCCCUCGACUGUCAAUUGUCCAGUUCCACUCACGGUUUUUGCGUUGCUCCUGUUAACAGGUCUCAGUUCUUGAAGUCUGCCUUUCUGGGAACCCUCAUCCGCUGACAAGGACCAGUGACGUCACGUGCUGAAACGCAAAUUGCUGGAGCAGAGAUUCUCAGAGGAUCUUCGUGCCAAACAAAUCUCGAGGAGGUCAAAAUCGUGUCUAUAAGAGUUAAGUGCUAGAGCUCAGUAUUCAACUGCAUGUGACCCGUGGGGACAGACACCCGUUAGUCACAUUUCAAUCAUCAACAGGUCCAUAUGAACAGGAUCCUUCCAUCCUUUUCUCG